AACGAACGCUGGCGGCGCGCCUAAUACAUGCAAGUCGAGCGAGAAGACGUAGCAAUACGUUUGUAAAGCGGCGAACGGGUGAGGAAUACAUGGGUAACCUACCCUCGAGUGGGGAAUAACUAGCCGAAAGGUUAGCUAAUACCGCGUACGCUCCUUGGACUUCGGUUCAGGGAGGAAAGCGAUACCGUGGGUAUCGCGCUCUUGGAUGGGCUCAUGUCCUAUCAGCUUGUUGGUGAGGAACGGCUCACCAAGGCUUCGACGGGUAGCUGGUCUGAGAGAACGAUCAGCCACACUGGCACUGCGACACGGGCCAGACUCCUACGGGAGGCAGCAGUAAGGAAUAUUGCGCAAUGGGCGAAAGCCUGACGCAGCGACGCCGCGUGGGGGAUGAC
rnacentral:rRNA from 1 species